GAACUGCGAUAAGUAAUGUGAAUUGCAGAAUUCAGUGAAUCAUCGAGUCUUUGAACGCACAUUGCGCCCCCUGGCAUUCCGGGGGGCAUGCCUGUCCGAGCGUCAUUGCUGCCCUCAAGCCCGGCUUGUGUGUUGGGUCGUCGUCCCCCCCGGGGGACGGGCCCGAAAGGCGGCGGCGGCACCGUGUCCGGUCCUCGAGCGUAUGGGGCUUUGUCACCCGCUCGAUUAGGGCCGGCCGGGCGCCAGCCGGCGUCUCCAACCUUAUUUUUCUCAGGUUGACCUCGGAUCAGGUAGGGAUACCCGCUGAACUUAAGC
rnacentral:misc_RNA from 1 species